CUGACCCACUGCUGGUGCCUCCCUUUGACUUCCGAUGCCCUCUGUCUGCAGAUGCUGACCCCUCUCCAGAGAAGAUCGAAGUCAUUACCUUUCAGCAGCGAGAUCACCUCCCAACCAUUGUGGACACUUUCAAAAUAACUUGAAACAUUGAUGGACAGUGAAAGAGGAGAAGGAGCAUACAGAAGUCACGUCACUUCCCUGAGUAAAGGCAGCCAUGGCCUCCUGUGGUGUCGAAUGAAAUGCAAGCUCCUGCCCGAGGUUCCUCAGGCCCUCUGUGACCACGUUCCUGCUCACCUGUUGUCCAGCAAGUCCUGUCCCUCACGGAGUUCUGCCUGGCUGUUCCCUGAGCACGGCCAGCUGUUUUGCUGCCUCAGGGCCUUUGCAUUUGUCUUUUCCUUUGCUCGGAAUGUCUUUUGCCAGAUCUUGCACAUGUGGCUCUUUUUGGGGGUAUUCAAAUCAAGAUAUGGUGUCUUGGCUUCCUGAGGUUUAAGUCUCAGCUAAAACAUCACCUCUUCAAAGCAACUUUUCCUGACCAAGGCACCCCGCUGUACCCUCGAGUGCAUCCCCCUGUUUGAUACUCUCCACAGUACUUGUCAGGAUCUGUAGUGACCUUGGGUACUGUUAAUUUGCAUAUCUGUCCACCCUCAUCCCUGCCCUGCCCUCUUGAUGAAGGCACCAUGAGAAUGGCAACCUUGUCUGGUUUACUUCUAGAUCCCCAGCACCUUGAACAGCAUGGGGCACACAGGAGCCACUCAACAAAUACUUGUUAAAUGAAUAACCCAUACUGAGAUGUAAGAGGAGGGGUGAUGGUUGAUGGGGAAAAGUCCAGAGAGGGUGGAGGAGAAGGGCUCAAAAGUGCAGGUGAAAGAGCUGGUCUUGGCGAGGAAGACCGCUUAUUUCUCAGACAGAUGGAAAGAGAGAGAGAUGAAGUUAAGCUGGAGACAUUUUGAUGUGCAGGGGGCAAGACUGUUUUGACAUUUUCACAAAGCAAAGGGUACAGUCACCUGCUGGGAGCUGAAGGGCAGCAGAAGUGGGUUCUGGGCCUGGAAGUCCAUGGAGGGCUUGGGAAUAACUCCACUAGUUGCCAUUUAUUUAGCACUUAGGCACCAGACACUGUUCCAAGGCCUGGAAAUGUAUAACUGAUCUCAUCCUCAUGAUGAUACUAUGAGGAAAGGUGCUAUCAUUACUUUUAAGAUGUGGAUACACCUUCAAUACAUACAAUUUUUCUUCUCAAUUAUACCCAAUAAAGCUGGGGAGAAAAGACACGGAAACCAAGGCACAGAAACGUCAAUUAACUUUUGAUCAGGGUCACAUAUCUAGGAAGUGGCAGAGCUGAGAUUUGAACUCAGGCAGUCUGGUCAUUGGAGCCUAUGUGAAGAACCACUAUAGUUUUCUGCCUCCCUAGGCCCCAUGGAGCAGGUACGUGAGGUCAUCAAGAGAGGAAGAGGAAGAUUGUGGAAGAGUACAUGGCAAGCCCAGGGGCAGUCAGCCAGAAUGCUGUACCAGAAAGCCCAGGAAUGAGGGCAGAGAGUCAAUGGGACAGGACGGGUGACUUAUGGUUAGGCACAGCAAAGAUGGGGGCUGAGGCAAGAAAGAGUUUUCUGGGUAAACAGAACAUGCAAAGGCCCUGAGGUUGGAAAGAGUUCAGCUUACUGGGAGGAGUAAAAGGACAGUAUCAGAGUAUAGUGGCAGGGGUGAGGAAGGCUUAUGGUAGGCAGAGGUCAGAUCCUUUAGGGUGGUAUUCCUCAAAGUGUGGUCCAAGCACCCCUGCAUCAAAAUGCUCUUGGGUCCUGAUUUAGAAUGCAGACUCUGUGCCUUAUCUCAGACCAACUUACUCAGAGUUUCUGGAGCCGAGGAAUCUGCUUUUUAACAAUGUCUCCAGGUGAUUCUUCUGCACAUGAAUAUUUGAG
rnacentral:lncRNA from 1 species